GGGCCCGCACAAGCGGUGGAGCAUGUGGUUUAAUUCGAUGAUACGCGAGGAACCUUACCAGGGCUUAAAUGUGGUCUGACAGCUUUAGAGAUAGAGCCUCCUUCGGGCAGAUCACAAGGUGCUGCAUGGUUGUCGUCAGCUCGUGCCGUGAGGUGUCAGGUUAAGUCCUAUAACGAGCGCAACCCCUGCCGUUAGUUGCCAGCAUGUAAAGAUGGGGACUCUAACGGGACUGCCGGUGCAAACCGCGAGGAAGGUGGGGAUGACGUCAAAUCAUCACGGCCCUUACGUCCUGGGCCACACACGUGCUACAAUGGCCGGUACAGAGAGCAGCCACUGGGCAACCAGGAGCGAAUCUAUAAAACCGGUCACAGUUCGGAUCGGGGUCUGCAACUCGACCCGUGAAGCUGGAAUCGCUAGUAAUCGG
rnacentral:rRNA from 1 species